AUCGCUUCUCGGCCUUUUGACUAAGAUCAAGUGUAGUAUCAAAAUAAAAAAGUUAAAAAGGGCUGAGGAUAUAGUUCAGUGAGAAUUUCUUGGAUUCUAUGCCCAGUAAUGCACUUAUUUCCAACAGCAAUGAGUUACAAUAAGACACA
ensembl:snRNA U2 U2 spliceosomal RNA